UACGUAGGGGGCGAGCGUUGUCCGGAGUUACUGGGCGUAAAGGGCGUGCAGGCGGUGCGGUAAGUUUAGCGUGACAGUCUCCGGCUUAACUGGAGAAGGCCGCUGAAAACUGCUGGACUUGAGGGCCAGAGAGGGACAUAGAAUUCCGGGUGGAGUGGUGAAAUGCGUAGAUAUCGGGAGGAACACCUGUGGCGAAAGCGGCUCACUGGACCAUAACUGACGCUGAUGCACGAAAGCUGGGGGAGCAAACAGG
rnacentral:rRNA from 1 species